UCAGAUGGAGAAUUAGUGAAGAGGAAGAGUCAGUUUCCAAGGUAUACCAAUGGUACUAAGAUACCUCAUUUUGAAUUGAGCAUGUUGUUUAGAAGGAAAAACCAGCUGUGUAAAGCUUUGAGAAAAUAUGGUAUUAUUACAAAGAGAAGCAUCAAUUUUGUUAAAUCUAAGAAUGACAGAGUGAGGGCCAAGUGUGGAUGGCCUGGUUGUCCUUGGCUAAUCUAUGCAGCCAAGACAUCAAGAACAUCAAGAUUGCAGGUGAUAACUUACAAUGAUUUUCAUGAAUGUGCACAGAAUAGAUGCAACAAACUUGUUACUUCAAAGGUCAUUGCACAAAGAUAUGAGCAUUUCAUAUUAAAUCCAAUGUGGAAAAUAGAAAGCAUUAAAGCAACUGUUCUGCAAGACAUGUUUGCUGAUGUUUCAACUUCCAAGUGCAAGCAUGCAAAGAAAUUUGUGAUGGAUAGAUUGAUGUAUGGAAUGGAGAAUGAGUACACUAGAGUGUUUGACUAUCAACUUGAGCUGCUUAGGAGCAAUCAUGAAAGCACUGUUAUUGUAUGUAUGGAUCCAACAAACAGACAUCAACGUGUUUUUGAGAGUUUCUAUGUUUGCUUCAAUGCUUUUUAG
rnacentral:rRNA from 1 species